CACGUAGGGCGCGAGCGUUGUCCGGAAUUAUUGGGCGUAAAGAGCUCGUAGGCGGCCUGUUGCGUCCGCUGUGAAAGCCCGGGGCUUAACCCCGGGUCUGCAGUGGAUACGGGCAGGCUAGAGGUAGGUAGGGGAGAAUGGAAUUCCCGGUGUAGCGGUGAAAUGCGCAGAUAUCGGGAGGAACACCGGUGGCGAAGGCGGCCAACUGGACCAUUACUGACGCUGAGGCGCGAAAGCGUGGGGAGCAAACAGG
rnacentral:rRNA from 1 species